rnacentral:tRNA from 7 species
GCCGCGGUAGCUCAGUGGUAGAGCGCAUCCCUGAAGAGGAUGGCGUCGGGGGUUCAAUUCCCUCCCGCGGCACAA